rnacentral:rRNA from 1 species
UACAGAGGUCUCAAGCGUUGUUCGGAAUCACUGGGCGUAAAGGGUGCGUAGGCGGCAUGGUAAGUCAGAUGUGAAAUCCCGGAGCUCAACUCCGGAAUUGCAUCCGAUACUGCCAUGCUUGAGGACUGGAGAGGAGUCUGGAAUUCAUGGUGGAGCAGUGAAAUGCGUAGAUAUCAUGAGGAACGCUAGUGGCGUAGGCGAGACUCUGGACAGUUCCUGACGCUGAGGCACGAAGGCCAGGGGAGCAAACGGG